UUUAUCAAAAUAAGGAUUUAUUAUUAUUAUAAUUAUGUAUAAAAGGUAAGGCAAAUUCAUUUUGUAUAUAUGUUUGGGAAAGAGUACUUUACAUUAUUACUAGUAUCGUUGAUACUGUACAUAAGCUAACCCUGUAUAAAGUCAGGAUAUGCAUAAGUUAACUAGAUUCUUGCCGAUCUUCUGAGUGGCUAUAGGGCAAAAGAAUCAAUCUGUUUUAAAUUUGAAAUAUUCAUUUUUCCUGACAAACUACGUUAUUGUAAAGAAAAACGAGUAGACUCUUAAUUUCACUUUCGUUUAUGCACAGUUAAAUCUUGCUUGCUUGAAAAAAACGCUGUGCUGUUUUUCUUUAAUAUAAUUGACAUUUGAUACGAUGUUUUUCUGUCUGAUGCAGACAAUAAGUGUAAUUAAUAGCGUCUAAGCAGUUUUGGGCCACUGUAUAUGAUUUCGAUGGAAGCUCAUAGACCCGACAUCAAAACAGGCCAAAUUAAAGUUUACCUUCCAUGCAAUGUCUAACCUCUUUCAAGAACAGUUUUUUUUUUUUAAUUAAUUUUUUUAUUAAUAAUAGUUUGCUAUUAUUAAUUGAGAAAUUAUUUACUGGUUACAGUUCUGCGAUGGAGUUUACAGAUGAAGAGAAAAUAUGGCUGCAAAGAGUGUCUGCUGAAAUACCUGAAGGAAAUGAACUCACUCUAAAAGAGAAGCAAUUACAGGAGAAAGCUAAGCCAGAGACUGAAUUUCAAGCCCAUCUCUUCCAAACUAUGGCCUCCAUACGAUUUGGACUGAAUGAUAUAAUAACCUCAACAAUAGAGGUGAAAAACUGUCCAGCAGAGGAGCAGCAUCUCAUCACAAUGUGGAUAAACAUCAAAUACCAAGAAGACGUCGCGUCUGCUUUUUCUUCUUGGUUAUAUAA